UUUCACCUCAUUGGUUGUAAUUCUACUCUCCCCACCCCCUCCCCUCAGUAUAAAAGUCCCUACCACUUCCAGCUCAGUCUCUUUUUCCCCAGAGUUCUUUCUGGGGUGUACUGAGAGACAAUGUCCCAGGAAGACUGAGCCUCCUUGUCUUCUACCUUUGUCCUUGCCAAUCCCCCUCCCUCCCCCAGGUGGAUUGGAGCUAGCCUGAAGAUUUUCCGGGGCUGGGAGCAAAGGGAUUACGUACUCAUAUUAUUGCCAUUCUGUUUUCUUGUGUGUGUCGUGAGGAGGAGGACCAUAUGAAUAAGGCUGAAGAAUAGCAAAAGAGAUAGAUAAAUCUCAUAAGAGAAUCUUCAGAAUGUGUUAACCAUUUCAUCAAACAAAGAAGCUCUGGAAGAAUGAAUUCCUGAGAAGUAAAUAUUUCAAAUCCAUCUUUCAAGGGAAAUAUACUGAAUUGAUUGUUUUGUUUUCUGUUUGUAACAACCUCUGUCUUUUUUUUAUCAUAAUCUAUAUUAAAAAUGUAUUCUGUAUCAGUUUAAUUUCAUUGUGGUCUUAUUGACUUAGCACAAAGUACAUAAGAUGCACACUUAUAUUGUCCUUACUUUUAACAGAGCUGGAAUGUAUAACCAGAGAAAUAAAACGUUUUUUUUACUCUUUA